GUUUUACGAGCCUAGCCUGCAGACAAGGCUUCGGACCGCUUUCAAAACCGACUAUUCAAUCAUGAUAAACAUGUCAUUCUUCGUCGUUUUGCUUUAGAUUUUCGUUCGAAUAUAUUAUAGGUGCAUUUGGCCUGCGUUUCGCAAAGUUAACAGGUUAAUAGGCUUAAAUAAUUUUCAAAAUAAAC